AUUGAACGCUGGCGGCAGGUUUAACACAUGCAAGUCGAGCGAGCGGCGGACGGGUGUGUAAUGUCUGGGAAACUGCCUGAUGGCGGGGGAUAACUCCUGGAAACGGUAGCUAAUACCGCAUACCAUCAGAUGUGUCCAGAUGGGAUUAGCUAGUAGGUGGGGUAAUGGCUCACCUAGGCGACGAUCCCUAGCUGGUCUGAGCGGAUGACCAGCCACACUGGGACUGGGACACGGUCCAGACUCCUACGGGAGGCAGCAGUGGGGAAUAUUGCACAAUGGGCGCAAGCCUGAUGCAGCCAUGCCGCGUGUGUGAAGAAGGCCUUCGGGUUGUAAAGCACUUUCAGCGAGGAGGCGUUACUCGCAGAAGAAGCACCGGCUAACUCCGUGCCAGCAGCCGCGGUAAUUC
rnacentral:rRNA from 1 species